rnacentral:tRNA from 1 species
CCUUAGUCUAAUGGUCAGGACACCGGACUUUCAAUCCGGUAAUGCAGAGUUCAAAUCUCGCAGGU